AUAAAAUUAUUUAUUUAAAUGGUCUUUUAUAAUUUCCAUUUUGGUGUUAUUAACUUGAUCUUUGUAUGAGAGUUAUGAUUAGAAGCAAAAUCAGAUUUUUAAACCUUAUGCAUUAAAAUUACAAAAUUGCCCUAAAAAAAAGGGGAGAAGAACAAAAACCCAUUUCCUGUUUCUUCAUUUCUCUGGUGGCUUCUCUAAGUUUCUAGAGAAAUCUUUAUUCACUAAUGUUUUUCCAAAUUCUCCUAAACUAGAUUACCUACAAAAGAUUAAGAGCAAUUGAAACCCCCCAAAACCUAUCUUCCUUCUCUCUUAUUUCUUCUUCUCUGUUUUUCGUCAAUAUGUUUCUGCAAUUUUCUCUAACAUGCAAUCCAAAUUUGCUCCUUGUUUCUUCAUCAAAGUUGUAGAUCUCUUCGAGUUAUUGAAUUUAGGCACAAAAAUCGUCCAAUUCAGAGUUCGGAGCUAUGAGUUAUGCUCUUUACAAGUUUCGUGUUGCUGCUGAACUUUUUGACGCGUUGCUGCUGUGUGUUCUUUCGUGCUACGGUGCUGCUGCGUGUGUGUGUGAUUCAUGCAUAGUUGUUCUUGGUGCUUGCAACCAUCAUCUCCUUCAUCUCUUUUAUGGGGGUAUAAUUAUAAGCUCUCUUCCUCCACUUUUCAAUUCCAAGAAUUCAAAUCCCUCUUGAAAUGGGUUCUAUUUCAAGUUUAUGAUUUCACAAAUAAAUUGAGUUCUUAAUCUUGCUUUUGAUAUACAAAAAAAAUCAGUUUGUGGUAUAGUUAGUUAAACUUAAAGAUUGAAUAUUUCCUUUUUUUUAAUGGAUUGGAGCUUAUAGUAUGAAUUGAUCCUCUGAAUUAAGUAAGAUUAUAAAAUCUGUUUUAUAUAAAUUAUGUUGUUUGAUUAUAUUCUCUAUACAUUAGAAUGGGAAAUCAGAAUUAUCAUGUGAGAUAGAAAAAUGUGAAUUGGAAAGUGAAAUAGUUUGUAUUUAAGAGUUAUAGUUAGUUCAUAAAAGAGUUUAGAAGGUAUGAGGAAGUAAUUCAUUUAUCUGAAUUAUAGUAGAGAUGAAUGUUAAUUAUUGUUACUAUUGUUGUGAGGUGAUUAUUGGAGAUUGAGUAUGAAUAAGGAGAUAUUGGACUCUCGAAGAUUUUUAUGGAGUCGAGUGCUAUUUAAAGAUGCGUAGAGAGUUCAUUGUUAGUGAUCUUGCAGGUUCGUGUGUGGAAAGCUCGGAAUGGAGUAAAAGGAUGAAUUUAGGUAUCAAGGUUAUAAUUAGAUGUAAUGGUUCAGAGGUUGUAUUUAGGGUUAUAUAACCUUAUUUGUGAAUAAAUUAUUAUAUUGCUUUAGAAGUCGAGCAAGGUAUUAUGUAAUAUGUUAUUUGGUUAUUGAGGAUGAUUUGUUGUGGGCCUGACCCACAGGUCCAGGAUCGUUUUAUAGGUUAUGUUUCCGCUGCAAGUGAAUAUAAUUCGAGGUUAUUAAGCGUUAA